UGAGCUGACACCUCUGUGAACAGGAAGAAGUCUGAAGGGAGCAGCUCAGGUUUGAUCUGUAAAGAGAGAAACAUUAACUGCUUUGGAUGAUGCUUCUUUAUCCUAAUAUGUCUUGUUUUCCCCAACUCAUCUCUGCCCUAGACACCUCCCUUACAAAUAGCGUAACCCUCCUCCCCCAUAGUCCCUCACUGAGAACUUGUCAUAUACUAGACCCUUGGAUUAAUUACUGCUCUCGUUGUGACUAAAUACUUGACAGGAAGCAGGUUAUGGGAGGAGAGGUAUAUUUUGGCUUGCAGUCUGAGGGAUACGGUGAGUCAGCAGAGCCGCGGCAGUAGGUGAUCACGGGGUGACAAGGGCAUGUGGCAGCUGCAGGCUCCCAUCUCAGCUGACCAGAAGCAGAUGGAAAGAAAUGCUGGCUUCCUAUUGGCUUUCUCCUUUCCCCCAUUUUAUUCGAUGAGGCAAGACUCCAGGCCAUGAGGUGAUGAUGCCCACCUGCAGGGCGAAUACUUCCCUGUUAGCUAUUCUUCUCUCAGAAUGUUCUCUCAGACAAACUCAAAAGUGUGCCCCAUUAAUGCCCUAGGCUUUUAUUAAUCCAAUCAAGUUGGCAAGCUAAAUCAACUGUCACAACUCUGUUCCGAGCAUCCCAGUAGUUCCUCUAACCAUUAUAACAAUUCUUUGAAAUUUGUCACUAUUAUUACCUUUAUAUCACAGAUGAAGAAAUGAGACAUAGAGAGGUUAAAUAAGUUCCCUCAAAGGCACUAGCUCUUGUUAAGUAGAUAUCUUUCCUUUUUACUGAUGAUACCAUUUGGGCUAAAGCUGCUUCCUCCGUGUAGUGAAUGACAGCCUAACUUAGUAGGCUAACUAAGGUUACUACACGUUCUCAAUCUCAGCAGUUGGGUUUUAGCCAAUCAGAGACGACUGACUGAUCAGACCAUGUUCAUAUAAGGCAAGUACCUAAUUACACUGUGCUCAUAUAUGGCAAAAGACUGACCCCAGCCAAUCAGAUUACUUCUGUAUGGUUCUUCUUCCUUUCCUCUGGCCAUAAGCAUAACUUACGCAUAUGACUGGGUUCUGGUUCUAAAUGUUCCAACUCUAUAAACUUUUUCCUGCACUUUGUUAAAUUUAAUUUAUCUCCAAUUUUCCCUGAAUUCCAUUAAGUGGCAACACCAUAUACCAAGUUCGUCUAUCUUCUGAUCUGUAAUGUUAAGCAGAACUAGAAGAGUUUUUAAAAGUGCACUCAAAUCACUUCUUAUAAGUCUUCUCUGGAGAAAUCUGCUUUAAAGUGGAGUCUAUUAAUAAUAAUAGUGUACAUUUCUACUAGCCAUCUAUCCUUGGUUAAGUCAUUCACAUCUCUGAAACUCGGUUUGUUUAAUCUGAGGGGCCCCCCUCCAGUUGGCUACAUUCCUGUUCUUUUCAACUUUGUGUGUUUUAUUCCAUGGCUUCUGCCUUAUAUUUUUAUGGGUUUUUAAACAAUCUGUCAUUUUAUUUGAGCCAAUAAGUAAUUUUUGCCUACCUUCAUUUUUCUAGAUAUGUUCACUGUUACAGGUGGGUGCCUGCCAUGAUUACUGUUUUACACAUGCCCUGGGGAUCUGAACUCAGGUCUUCACGAUUGCUGGCAUGCUGGCAUUUUACUAAUUGAGCCAUUGUCCCAGCCUUACUGUUGUUUCUUUUGUUCCAUCAAUACAACACCUACAGAGAAAACAUGAUACCAGAGUUGGGAUCCUCAGAACCUAUGCAAAAUGUCAGCUGUGCUUGUGUGUGGCUGCAACUGUAGCAUAGGAAGCAGUCAGGCAGAUCCACCAAGCUCUGUGGCCGGCCAGGUUAGUCAACUGGUGAGCUCUGGUUUCAAUGAUAGGCUCUGUCUCCAAGGGUAAGGUGGAGAGCUAUCAAGGAAGUCAGUGGUUUGACCUUCGGCCUCCAUAUUGAUGUGAACACACAUAUUUACUCACUAGAAUGCACAUGCACACACACAAUACCACACACACACUUGUACCUGCGCAAAGAAAAAAAUGACUUCUAUAACAUAAAGUUGACAGUCACAUGAUCGAGGUAUACUGAAGGGCAUUUUAAGGAGAUAUUUAUUUUAUGGCUUUUGUUACCCUUUUGAAAGACGUUUCCCUCACAUUGUGGCUUUUAAAUUAGUUUUAAUAUGACUAAUUGCAGGAACCAGAUACUGCGAAUACAGGCUGCUUAGUAAACGACCUCUAAAGGGUGAGUGGUAGAGCAGUGUCCUCAUGGCCCGUGGAUCAGAUGGUAUGAACGGGCUGAUUGAGUCUAGCGCGGGCGCCUUCAGAUCAGGCUCAGAGGGGAUGGUAGGGGUAGGGGCGAGAGGAGGCUGCUGUUCCAGAAACUAUUUGUUCUUGAGCCUGAGGUAAAGGAUAGCAAAGUCCCAUGGGUAACUCUUCCUGGAGAUGGUAUAAGUGCAGGAGGCCAAGGGGCAAAGGCAAAUGCUUCUGAAGAGCUGUUGUGGGCAGAAUCGUCCUCUACAAAGAUAGAUUGAAGUCGGAGUCUCUGCCCCGCGUUUGACCAGUGAAUGUGACCUCAUUUGGAAAUACAAUCUUUUAGGAUGGAAUCCCAUUAGGGUGACGUCAUAAUGGAUUAAUGUGGGCCCUUGUCCAAUGUCUCACAAAAGGAAAGAGACUUGGGCACCGAUGCCCAGGAAGAAUAUCAUGUCAGUGAAGGCAGAGACUGGAGAUUUGUUGACAUAACCCAAAACUGCCAAGCUUUGCUGGUGCUGUGGAUUUGAACUCAGGUCCUCACGAUAAUGCAUCGAGUAUGCCAUCUUCCCAGCUGUAAAAGUGCUCGUCGUCAUCGAUACAUCCUGCCUGAUAAGGUUUCUGACUGAUUUGUGAUGGUUCUCAAUCUGUUUGAAUACACGGACCACAAUGAAUCGUUCUGACUACCUUUCAAGCAAAUCUUAUUUCCCUAUA